rnacentral:rRNA from 1 species
AGGGAAUAGAUACCCAGGUAGUCCACGCCCUAAACGAUGGAUACUAGGCGUAAGAGGUAUCGACCCCUCUUGUGCCGCAGCUAAACGCAUUAAGUAUCCCGCCUGGGGAGUACGGCCGCAAGGUUGAAACUCAAAUGAAUUGACGGGGACCCGCACAAGCGGUGGAGCAUGUGGAUUAAUUCGAUACUAACCGAAGAACCUUACCCAGACUUGACAUCGAUCGCAAGCCUUAGAAAUAGGGCCCUCCCCACAAGGGACGGUGAGACACUUGUUGCAUGGCGUGUCGUCAGCUCGUGCCGUCGAGGUGUACGGUUAAGUACCGCCAACGAGCGCAACCCUCGUCCUGUGUUACCAGCAUGAAAGAUGGGAACGUCACAGGAGACCGCCGGUGUAAAUCGGAGGAA